rnacentral:rRNA from 1 species
UACAGAGGGGGCAAGCGUUGUUCGGAAUUACUGGGCGUAAAGGGCGCGUAGGCGGCCUGCUAAGUCGAACGUGAAAUCCCUGGGCUCAACCCAGGAACUGUGUCCGAUACUGGUUGGCUUGAAUCCGGGAGAGGGACGUGGAAUUCCAGGUGUAGCGGUGAAAUGCGUAGAUAUCUGGAGGAACACCGGUGGCGAAGGCGACGUCCUGGACCGGCAUUGACGCUGAGGCGCGAAAGCCAGGGGAGCAAACGGG